UACGUAGGGUGCGAGCGUUGUCCGGAAUUAUUGGGCGUAAAGAGCUCGUAGGCGGUCUGUCGCGUCUGCUGUGAAAACCUAGGGCUUAACUCUGGGCGUGCAGUGGGUACGGGUAGGCUAGAGUGCGGUAGGGGAGACUGGAAUUCCUGGUGUAGCGGUGAAAUGCGCAGAUAUCAGGAGGAACACCGGUGGCGAAGGCGGGUCUCUGGGCCGUAACUGACGCUGAGGAGCGAAAGCAUGGGGAGCGAACAGG
rnacentral:rRNA from 1 species